rnacentral:rRNA from 1 species
AACGAACGCUGGCGGCAGGCCUAACACAUGCAAGUCGAACGCCGUAGCAAUACGGAGUGGCAGACGGGUGAGUAACACGUGGGAACGUACCCUUCGGUUCGGGAUAACUCAGGGAAACUUGAGCUAAUACCGGAUACGUCCGAGAGGAGAAAGAUUUAUUGCCGAGGGAUCGGCCCGCGUCUGAUUAGCUUGUUGGCGAGGUAACGGCUCACCAAGGCUUCGACGGGUAGCCGGCCUGAGAGGGCGACCGGCCACACUGGGACUGAGAUACGGCCCACGACUCCUACGGGAGGGCAGCAGUGGGGAAUAUUGCACAAUGGGCGGCAAGCCUGAUGCAGCGACGCCGCGUGGGUGAAGAAGGUUUUCGGUAU